UUUUUGAGAGACAGAGACAGAGCACAAGUGGGGAGGGGCAGAGAGAGAGGGAGACACAGAAUCCCAAGCGGGCUCCAGGCUCUGAGCUGUCAGUAGAAUCCGACCUGACCUUGAGAUCAAGACCUGACCCAUCUGAGGCUUAACGUACUGAGCCACCCAGGCUCCUCUUGCAAACACUCAUCUUAAGGAGAUUUUAAGGGUCAGGGAAAUCCUCUAGAACAACUUUUUCCGCAGUUGAAGACCAGGAAGCCGUGGAAAGGAAGGCUUGGCUGCUCUGUGGCAGCCGGCUCGGAACCGAGGCGAGAGGAGCCGUUGUAAACAUUGCCAUAGCUCAUCGUGGCAAAACAGAGGAUGAGCCCGCAGGGCCCGGAAGGAUUUGACAUAUCCUGUCCCUCAGGGUUUUUGUGGGAGGGUUGGGGGUUGGGGAACGGUUUUAUUUUCUUUCAGACUUAGGUAACUUGGAUGGUGGUUGAGGGAAGGCAGAGAAAUCAAGAUCUCCAUUUACAAAAGAAAUUUAGAGCCUGGGAAGGCGGCUUGGGAGUGGUGGCUACCACACUUCACUGACCACGCUACACCCCCUCCCUGGCGGGGCGCCCUCCCUGGCUGGCGUCCCCUUGAGGGGGAACACCCUCAAGCUGAGCCCCUGCCAGGAGCCCGCCCCAGCCUCUCGCUGAGGAACAAGCAAGAUGGCCGCCGCCGCCACUUCCGCGCACGCGGAGGGGAAAGCCACACAUUUCCGGGCAGAAUUCCUGACGGUGCUCUGGGAACGCCGGGUGGGAGUAGAUCACCAGUGGCGCUUCAUAUAGGUCCCGUGGUGUUAUUCAUUGUUUACAGUAUUGCACUUAAACUGAUGCAAAAUGCAUGAGAACUGUCAGAGAUCACUUUUUACUGUGGUACGCAAUGUCCUGGAGAGAUGAACUGCUCGCGUGGAGCAUAUGCAGUUACGACUCAAUACUUCAUCUUUAUGUUUGUUUACACUUCUCUCCAAUGCACCUGGUGCCGGAUUCUGGAUCAGUCCUCUUUUAGCGUUCUCUUAUCUGCAGUUCUAAAGUUGGAAAAACUGUCACGUCUGUUUGGUGAACUUCAGCAAUUGAAGAGAAAUGAAGGUUGAUUUUCAAAUGACCAUUAAGAGGCAAAGAAAUAAAUUGUCACAGUUAUAGGAUCUUUUCUUCUGAGUAACAAGGAGACUGUGCCACUUAUAUAAUGGCUGGUAUAAGUCUUUACUGACAAAGUGGUUUUUGUUCAGGGCCUUGGUUACCAUAAGUAAGGAUCAUUAGAGAAGCAGUCCUUAUUCAAUGAUUACAACUCUCCAAAAAAGAAAAUGAAAUGAAGUGCCAAUAUUCCCAUUAAGUUUUCACUUUGU